rnacentral:lncRNA from 1 species
AUCAGAGCCAGGAUGGGAUUCAGAGCCAGCACACGUGCUGUGCUGGGGGCAGAGGCAGGAGAGACGAUAAUUCCAACCGUCAUAUCUUGAAGUUCACUGAUCAUGUCUUCUGGCUGCUAGAAUCCACGACUGAUAACCUCUCGUGAACUUCUAAAUUUCAGUGACUAUACUUUUCAGCUCCAGAUUUCAUGCCUGCAGUGUUUCCAGCCUCAGUUCUUAUUUAGGCAAAGCAAAGAACACCCACGUUCAUCCUUCC